AAGUCUAGCCUGCCCAAUGAUAAUUUAAAUGGCCGCAGUAUUUUGACUGUGCAAAGGUAGCAUAAUCAUUAGUUUCUUAAUUAGAAACUGGAAUGAAUGGUUGAACGAGAAAAUAACUGUCUCUAUAUAAGUUUUUAUAAUUUUAUUUUUAAGUUAAAAAGCUUAACUUAGUUUAAAAGACGAGAAGACCCUAUAGAGUUUUAUUUAUAUUUAAUUAUUAAUUUAAAGUAGAAAGUUUUAUAUUUUAGUUUAAAAAUAAAUUUAGUUGGGGUGAUAAAAAAAUUUAAUAAACUUUUUUUUUAUUUAAACAUUUUUUUAUGAUUUAUUGAGCCAUUAUUAUUAUGAUUAUAAGAUUAAAUUACCUUAGGGAUAACAGCGUAAUUUCUUUUUAGAGUUCAAAUCGAUAAUGAAGUUUGCGACCUCGAUGUUGGAUUAAAAUUAAAUUUUGGUGUAGAAGCUAAAAUAUUAGGUCUGUUCGACCUUUAAAAUUUUACAUGAUCUGAGUUUAAACCGGUGUGAGCCAGGUUGGUUUCUAUCUUUAAAUAAUUUUUGUAAUAUAGUACGAAAGGACCUAUUACUUAUAAAAUUUAU
rnacentral:rRNA from 1 species